AUGCCCGACACCAAUGAUGCUCCAUUUUAGUUAGACAAAUCACAGAUAAUGACCUCGGUAAAAGAUAUUUGGAGGAGAGACUUUGUACUGCAAACCUAUUUGCUCUGUUGACAAAACUUUAUACAACAAAUAGUUAAAGCCCAUUUCAGCAUUUUUUCUUUGAUAAUCCUUAUACUCGAAUGCAUCCUCAAUACGAUGAUGGCCUGGAGAAGAUCAUUCAAAAAUUAGAUGCAUAUUUAUAUCUCGAUGAGAAAGGAAUUCCGCAAUUGUUAAAUGUUUAGUGAGACUGCGCAGCAAGCUGAUCUCAAGUUAGGAAAUUCCACCAAAAACACCGCUCAUUUAAAUCUUCAAUAGGACACUUCACCAUUGAUUCUAUACAAGAAUUAUCAUAAUAUCUUGUAUUUGCAUGUAAUGUAGAUCUAGAAUAAACAGUCAAUUCAUAGCUAAUAAAACGAUAAUAAAAAAACCCC
rnacentral:sRNA from 2 species